AUUGAACGCUGGCGGUAGGCCUAACACAUGCAAGUCGAACGCGAAAGUCCUUCGGAUGAGUAGAGUGGCGGACGGGUGAGUAACGCGUAGGAAUCUAUCCUGUAGUGGGGGAGUAACGUUUCGAAAGGAACGCUAAUACCGCAUACGCCCCAACGGGGGAAAGACGGGGGAGUCUUCGGACCUCGUGCUAUAGGAGGAGCCUGCGUCGGAUUAGCUAGUUGGUGAGGUAAAGGCUCACCAAGGCGACGAUCCGUAGCUGGUCUGAGAGGAUGAUCAGCCACACUGGAACUGAGACACGGUCCAGACUCCUACGGGAGGCAGCAGUGGGGAAUAUUGGACAAU
rnacentral:rRNA from 1 species